GCAGCCGCCGCGGUAAAACAGAGGGUGCGAGCGUUAAUCGGAUUUACUGGGCGUAAAGCGUGCGUAGGCGGCUUUUUAAGUCGGAUGUGAAAUCCCUGAGCUUAACUUAGGAAUUGCAUUCGAUACUGGGAAGCUAGAGUAUGGGAGAGGAUGGUAGAAUUACAGGUGUAGCGGUGAAAUGCGUAGAGAUCUGGAGGAAUACCGAUGGCGAAGGCAGCCAUCUGGCCUAAUACUGACGCUGAGGUACGAAAGCAUGGGGAGCAAACAGGAUUAGAUACCCCUGUAGUCCCUGUCUCUUAUAC
rnacentral:rRNA from 1 species